AAAAAAUUGCAUUUCAAAGACAAUUUUUUUUUUUGGUUCGGAGAGGGGUGGUGUAGCAUUACAAAAUUAUAAUCAGGUAUUGAAAGAAUGAAUUUGAUGAAUUAAUUCCUCCAGCAUUGUGUUUAGUAUAUUCUACCAUCUGUACAAGGAAACGCAAAUCAUUUGUAAUCCAUAAACUGGUAUUAUAGUUUCCUAUGUGUGAUUUAAUAUUGGGGAGAUGUUUGUUUGGAGAUGGCAUGUGUAUUCGAGAUUGCAUAAAAAACUUAUCGCGAAGCGUACGGAUUUCUUGAAGAAUUCAGUCAGAUGUUAUAUGAAGACUAACGUCCACGAUCAUAAUCUCGAAAGAGGAUUUGUUUCCGAAUAAAAACUAGUGAUCUUACUGAUUAGUCACAUAUCGAUUAAAAAUUAGAUUUCGUGCUUUAAGAACCCUUUUUAAAAGGGUUCUUUCACUGGGUGUAAUUUUGUUCAUCCAA